GCAUAUCAAUAAGCGGAGGAAAAGAAACUAACAAGGAUUCCCCUAGUAACGGCGAGUGAAGCGGGAUGAGCUCAAAUUUAAAAUCUUGCAGCCUCAGGUUGUACGAGUUGUAGUCUAGAGAAUCGUUUUCCGCGUUGGCCUGUGUACAAGUCCCUUGGAACAGGGCGUCAUAGAGGGUGAGAAUCCCGUCCUUGACACAGACUACCAAUGCUUUGUGAUGCGAUCUCGAAGAGUCGAGUUGUUUGGGAAUGCAGCUCAAAAUGGGUGGUAAAUUCCAUCUAAAGCUAAAUAUUGGCGAGAGACCGAUAGCGAACAAGUACCGUGAGGGAAAGAUGAAAAGCACUUUGGAAAGAGAGUUAAACAGUACGUGAAAUUGUUAAAAGGGAAACGAUUGAAGUCAGUCAUGCUUUCCGAGACUCAGCCGAUUCUGUCGGUGUACUUCUCGGUUUGCAGGCCAGCAUCAGUUUCGAUCUGUGGAAAAGGUUGGAGGGAACGUGGCAUCCUCGGAUGUGUUAUAGCCCUCCUUCGAAUACAUAGAGCGGGACUGAGGAACGCAGCGCGCCCUUUAUUGGGUUGGUCUUCGGAUACAUACGCGCUUAGGAUGCUGGCAUAAUGGCUUUAAACGACCCGUCUUGAAACACGGACC
rnacentral:rRNA from 2 species